GUAGUCAUAUGCUUGUCUCAAAGAUUAAGCCAUGCAUGUCUAAGUAUAAGCAACUAUACCGUGAAACUGCGAAUGGCUCAUUAUAUCAGUCUAAAUAUACUUGAUAGUACCUUACUACUUGGAUAACCGUGGUAAUUCUAGAGCUAAUACAUGCUAAAAACCCAGACUUCGGAAUGGGUGUAUUUAUUAGAUAAAAAACCAAUGCCCUUCGGGGCUCCUUGGUGAUUCAUGAUAACUUAACGAAUCGCAUGGCCUUGUGCCGGCGAUGGUUCAUUCUAUAUUCUGCCCUAUCAACUUUCGAUGGUAGGAUAGUGGCCUACCAUGGUUUCAACGGGUAACGGGGAAU
rnacentral:rRNA from 1 species